rnacentral:rRNA from 1 species
AGAGUUUGAUCAUGGCUCAGGACGAACGCUGGCGGCGUGCUAACACAUGCAAGUCGAACGAGGUCCAACCGGUAGCAAUACCGGUGAAGAUCAAGUGGCGAACGGGUGAGUAGCACGUGAGCAACUGCCCCGAAGACCGGGACAACACCGGGAAACCGGUGCUAAUACCGGAUAUCCCCCACCGAGUCGCAUGGCUUGGUGAGGAAAUGGAUUCCGCUUCGGGAGGGGCUCGCGGCCUAUCAGCUUGUUGGUGAGGUAACGGCUCACCAAGGCUUCGACGGGUAGCUGGUCUGAGAGGACGAUCAGCCACACUGGGACUGAGACACGGCCCAGACUCCUACGGGUGGCAGCAGUGGGGAAUCUUGCACAAUGGGCGAAAGCCUGAUGCAGCAACGCCGCGUGAGGGACGAAGGCUUCCUGAGUUGUAAACCUCUUUCAGCAGGGACGAUUGUGACGGUACCUGCAGAAGAAGCCCCGGCCAACUACGUGCCAGCAGCCGCGGUAAUACGUAGGGGGCAAGCGUUGUCCGGAUUUAUUGGGCGUAAAGAGCUCGUAGGCGGCUUGGCAAGUCGAAUGUGAAACCUCCAGGCUCAACCUGGAGAUGCCAUUUGAUACUGCCAUGGCUAGAGUUUGGUAGGGGACC